AUGGGACCCCUUCCAACAUCUCCUGGCCCCACAGUGCCAAAGCCCCAAAUCUCCCAGCCCCGAGAUCUUCCACCCUCCAGCCCCCUGUACCUGUCGGUCUCGACCCCUGGAGAGCAGGGAGAUCCCGGCCACCAGAAGCAGGAGGCCGGGGAUGAGGAGAAAGCUGCUGUCGNCCAUCGCUCACAGCCAGGUACGACCGCACUGGCAGACGUGGGGUGCUGGCCGGUGCUUUAUAGGGACACAGCCCUGAGGUCACAGACAGCACACGGCAACGCCUCUGUGAGGUCACAGCCCCCAGCCCACGUUGAAGCAGGCCGGUGCCCCUGUGCUGCAUCCUGUGGGGAGCGUGGGGGACUGAUCCCGGCCCCAUGCGAGGAGCCUGGGGGAGCCAUCCUGGUGCCCCACGCUCCAAGCGUCUGUGGGGGUCAGGGCAAUGCCGUCCUGGUUGUGUUGAGUGCAUCGAGGCCAUCCAGGAGCUGCAGCAGCUGGUGCUGUCAGCACUGCCCAGGUGUGAGGCUGCUGCGCUGAGGCCUGACUUCUGGCAAGCAGCAUGAAAGGACCUGGAGGAGCUGGUGGAGCAGGGCAGCCUGUCCUGCUGUGGCUACAGCUACCCCAGGAGCAAGAGCUUUCCUGGGAGCUGGAGCAACAUCUCCCUGGGCUGGCAGAGAGGAGCCCCCACAGAGCCAGUGCAUCCAUGCCGCCCAGCGCCCACGAAGCAGGGAGCGGCUGGUGUGUGCUCCAGCAUCCAGCCACCAGCAAUAGGGCUGAUCGUGCACAAGAGUCUCCUUUGCCCAGAUGAGGGACGCCAUUGGUGGGAGGAGGUGUCCUGGCAGCCUCUUGGCUUGUGCAUGGCCCUCCCAGCUUUUCUCAGCCCAGCCAACAUGGCAUUGCAAAAAGACCAGGGCUGCCAAACUGACUUCACCCCCACCCCAGGAUUGUGUGUGGCUGACAGGAAGGACAGGAGCCAACCCCACAUUGCAGCGCCUGUCAGCAUGCAGCUGAGGCAUGCAGCUGAGCGCAGCAAGCUCUGCAUGCACGCAGCAAGCUCUGCAUUCACACAGCAAGAAAGUGCCUAGAAGUACAGCUGCAAUACUUCCCUGGGCCAGUGCAGCUGUCUGUGGAACAGCUGCAAUAAACAAUGUCCAAAAAUCCCCGUGCUGGUUCUG
rnacentral:lncRNA from 1 species